rnacentral:rRNA from 1 species
AUUGAACGCUGGCGGCAUGCCUUACACAUGCAAGUCGAACGGUAACGGGCCUUCGGGUGCCGACGAGUGGCGAACGGGUGAGUAAUGCAUCGGAACGUACCUUUCAGUGGGGGAUAACGUAGCGAAAGUUACGCUAAUACCGCAUAUUCUGUGAGCAGGAAAGCAGGGGAUCGCAAGACCUUGCGCUGAUUGAGCGGCCGAUGUCAGAUUAGCUAGUUGGUGAGGUAAAGGCUCACCAAGGCGACGAUCUGUAGCGGGUCUGAGAGGAUGAUCCACCACACUGGAACUGAGACACGGUCCAGACUCCUACGGGAGGCAGCAGUGGGGAAUUUUGGACAAUGGGGGCAACCCUGAUCCAGCCAUGCCGCGUGAGUGAAGAAGGCCUUCGGGUUGUAAAGCUCUUCCGGCCGGGAAGAAAUCGUAUGGGCUAAUACCCUGUGCGGAUGACGGUACCGGCAUAAGAAGCACCGGCUAACUACGUGCCAGCAGCCGCCGUAAGAC